UACGUGGGGUGCAAGCGUUGUUCGGAAUUACUGGGCGUAAAGCGCGUGUAGGCGGCCUGUUAAGUCUGACGUGAAAUCCCUGGGCUCAACCCAGGAACUGCAUCGGAAACUGACAGGCUAGAGUCCGGGAGAGGGUAGCGGAAUUCCUGGUGUAGCGGUGGAAUGCGCAGAUAUCAGGAAGGACACCCGUGGCGAAGGCGGCUCUCGUGGGACGGUACUGACGGCUGAGGAGCGAAAGCAUGGGGGAGCGAACAGG
rnacentral:rRNA from 1 species